AUUGAACGCUGGCGGCAGGCCUAACACAUGCAAGUCGAACGAGUGGCGGACGGGUGAGUAAUGUAUGGGAAACUGCCCGAUGGAGGGGGAUAACUACUGGAAACGGUAGCUAAUACCGCAUACCAUACGAUGUGCCCAGAUGGGAUUAGCUAGGGGGUGGGGUAAUGGCUCACCUAGGCGAAGCUCCCUAGCUGGCUGGAGAGGAUGACCAGCCACACGGGAACUGAGACACGGUCCAGACUCCUACGGGAGGCCGCAGUGGGGAAUAUUGCACAAUGGGCGCAAGCCUGAUGCAGCCAUGCCGCGUGUAUGAAGAAGGCCUUCGGGUUGUAAAGUACUUUCAGCGAGGAGGCGUUACUCGCAGAAGAAGCACCGGCUAACUCCGUGCCAGCAGCCGCGGUAAUUC
rnacentral:rRNA from 1 species